UACGUAGGGUGCGAGCGUUGUCCGGAAUUAUUGGGCGUAAAGGGCUCGUAGGCGGUUUGUCGCGUCGGGAGUGAAAUCCACUGGCUUAACUGGUGGCUUGCUUUCGAUACGGGCAGACUGGAGGUAUGCAGGGGAGAACGGAGUUCCUGGUGUAGCGGUGAAAUGCGCAGAUAUCAGGAGGAACACCGGUGGCGAAGGCGGUUCUCUGGGCAUGUCCUGACGCUGAGGAGCGAAAGUGUGGGGAGCGAACAGG
rnacentral:rRNA from 1 species